AGAGUUUGAUCCUGGCUCAGGACGAACGCUGGCGGCGUGCCUAACACAUGCAAGUCGAACGAGGUCCAGACAGUGGCAACACUGUGGAAGGCCUAGUGGCGAACGGGUGAGUAACACGUGAGGAACUUGCCCCGGAGACCGGGAUAACUUUUCGAAAGGAAAGCUAAUACCGGAUGUCCUCACCGAGUCGCAUGGCUUGGUGAGGAAAUGGAUUCCGCUCCGGGAGAGCCUCGCGGCCUAUCAGCUAGUUGGUGGGGUAACGGCCCACCAAGGCAUCGACGGGUAGCUGGUCUGAGAGGACGAUCAGCCACACUGGGACUGAGACACGGCCCAGACUCCUACGGGAGGCAGCAGUGGGGAAUCUUGCGCAAUGGGCGAAAGCCUGACGCAGCAACGCCGCGUGCGGGAUGAAGGCCUUCGGGUUGUAAACCGCUUUCAGUGGGGACGAAACAAGACGGUACCCACAGAAGAAGCCCCGGCCAACUACGUGCCAGCAGCCGCGGUAACACGUAGGGGGCAAGCGUUGUCCGGAUUCAUUGGGCGUAAAGAGCUCGUAGGCGGUUCGAUAAGUCGGGUGUGAAACCUCCAGGCUCAACCUGGAGACGCUACCCGAUACUGUUGUGACUAGAGUCCAGUAGAGGAGCGUGGAAUUCCUGGCGUAGCGGUGAAAUGCGCAGAUAUCAGGANGAACACCAGCAGCGAAGGCGGCGCUCUGGGCUGGCACUGACGCUG
rnacentral:rRNA from 1 species